rnacentral:tRNA from 1 species
CCUGAUAGCUCAGUUGGUAAAGAAUCUGCCUGCAAUGCAGGAGACCCUGAUUUGAUUUCUGGGUCAGGA